GCUUGUCUCAAAGAUUAAGCCAUGCAUGUCUUAGUGUAAAUAACUCUUAUGAAACUGCGAAUGGCUCAUUAAAUCAGUUAUCAAAUACGUGAUGGUCGCCUACUACAUGGAUAACCGUAGUAAUUCUAGAGCUAAUACAUGCACAAAGGCCCACGCAAGUGGGUUGUGAUUAUUAGAUUCAAACCGGCCUCGUUCUGGUGAUUCAUAAUAAUUGGUCGAACCGCAUGCCCUUGUGGUGGCGGUGAUUCAUCCUUAUUUCUGCCCUAUCAACUUUCGACGGUAGUGUAGUGGACUACCGUGGCGUUAACGGGUAACGGAGAAUUAGGGUUCGAUUCCGGAGAGGGAGCCUGAGAAAUGGCUACCACAUCCAAGGAAGGCAGCAGG
rnacentral:rRNA from 1 species